GCAAUGUCCACCACUCCAGGGACCACCCCAACCACCCUUUGGACCACCACUGCUCCUCCUUUAGGGCUGUGUGAGAACGGGGGGACUUUUGCUGGCACCGGUUGUCUCUGCAGCCCGUCCUACGCCGGUCCACGCUGCGAGUUCUCCACCGACACCGUGGAGACCAACCUGCCGUUCCCUGGGAC